rnacentral:rRNA from 1 species
UAGAGUUUGAUCCUGGCUCAGAGCGAACGCUGGCGGCAGGCCUAACACAUGCAAGUCGAGCGAGAGAGGUCUUCGGAUCUUUCGAGCGGCGGACGGGUGAGUAACACGUGAGUAACCAACCCUGCAGUGGGGGAUACCCGGUGGAAACACCGGUUAAUCCCGCAUACGCUCUCUUUGAGAGGAAAGCAGCAAUGCGCUGGAGAACGGGCUCGCGGCUGAUUAGCUAGUUGGUAGGGUAAGAGCCUACCAAGGCGACGAUCAGUAGCUGGUCUGAGAGGAUGAUCAGCCACACUGGGAUUGAGAACGGCCCAGACUCCUACGGGGGGCAGCAGUGAGGAAUCUUCGUCAAUGGGCGCAAGCCUGAACGAGCAACGCCGCGUGCGGGACGACGGCCUUCGGGUUGUAAACCGCUUUUCACGAGGACGAGACAGGACGGUACUCGUGGAAGAACCCUCGGCUAACUACGUGCCACCAGCCGCGGUAAUACUUAGGAAGCAAGCGUUGUCCGGAUUUACUGGGCGUAAAGGGCGCGCAAGGGGGCCAUUCGCUUUCCGGGGAAAGCGCUCGGCUUACUUGACCAAGGUUCGGGAAAAACGGGUGGGCUUUGACCUCCGAAAAGGGGACUUGGACCUCCGGUGGGAGCGUGUAAACUCCGUAAAAUGCCCGAAGAAGCGUAAGCGGAAGAGGAGUCGACCGACACAUGGACUUGUCGGCACACCUUAAUUCUUUGUUGAGUUUGUCAAGUUAAAAAUGCCUGGAGUUCUAGUGUUGAGUAAAGUCGCUUCUAAACUGUGAUCGGUCUUCGUCAGAUCGUGUCUGCUGUCGCCGGUCUCGGACAUCGUUGAGAUAUACACUGGUCGCGAGUAUUGGCGCGACGUGCA